rnacentral:rRNA from 1 species
GUUCAAAUGAGGAAAGGCUUACGGUGGAUACCUAGGCACCAAGAGAUGAGGAAAGACAUAGUAAUCGAUGAAUUGCUUUGGGUAGUUAAAACUAAGCAUAGAUCCGGUGAUUCCUAAAUAGGGCAACCUUUCAAAAUGCUACUAAAUCCAUGGGAAGGUAAGAGACAACCUGGCGAACUCAAAUAUUUUGGUAGCCGGAGGAAAAUAAAGCAAAAGUGAUUCCCGUAGUAGCUGCGAGUGAAAUGGGAGCAGCCUAAACCAUGAAAAAGGGGUUGUGGGAGAGAAAUACAUGUGUCAUGCUGCUAGGCAAAGCAUCCUAAAUGUGGCACCCUAUAUGGUAAAAGUCCAGUAGCCGAAAGAAUCACUAGCUUACGCUCUGACCCGAGUAGCAUGGGGCAUGUGGAAUCCCAUAUAAAUCAGCAAGGACUACCUUGCAAGGCUAAAUACUCCUAGGUGAAUGAUAGCGAUGUAGUACCAUGAGGGAAAGGUGAAAAGAACCCCCAUAGGAGAAUUAAAUAGAACAUAAAACCAUAAUCUCCUAAGUAGUGGGAGAAGCCAGGGUUCUAACCGCAUGCCUGUUGAAGAAUGAGCUGGCGACUAAUAGGUAGUGGCUUGGUUAAGGAAACCCACCAGAGCCAUCGCGAAAGAGAGUCUUCAUAGGUAAAUUGUCACUACUUAUGGAUCCAAACUUGGGUGAUCUAUCCAUGACCAGGAUGAAGCUUGGAUGAAACUAAGUGGUGGUCCAAACUAACUGAUGUUGAGGACUCAGUGGAUAAGUUAUAGUUAGGAGUGAAAUGCCACUCGAACCCAAAGCUAGCUGGUUCUCCCCAAAAUGCAUUGAGGUGCAGCAGUUGACUGGAUAUAUAGGGGUAAAGCACUAUUUUGGUGUGGCCCGUGAGAGCGGUAUCAAAUCGAGGCAAACUCUGAAUACUAGGUAUGGCCUUAAAAAGUCAGCUAGUGAGAUGAUGGGGGAUAAGCUUCAUUGUUGAGAGGGAAAUAGCCCGGAUCACCAUCUAAAGUCCCUAAAUGACCGCUUAGUGAUAAAGGAGGUAGGGGAGUAGAGACAGCCAGGAGCUUUGCUUAGAAGUAGCCACCCUUGAAAGAGUGCAUAAUAGCUCACUGAUCGAGGGAUAUGCAAUCUACUGAAGCGGUGGGGUGUAAAAAUACAUCUAUUGGGGAAUAUUCGACCUUUGAAAGAAGCCCCCGCAUGAGUGGUGGUGGACGAAGUGCAAGCGAGUAUGUCGACUUGAGUAACGCAAACAUUGGUAAGAAUCUAAUGCCCCAAAAACCUAAGGGUUCCUUUGCAAGGUUUGUCAACGGAGGGUAUGGGUAAGUCAGAGCCUAAUAUCAGGACGAAAGUCAUAGUCGAUGGACAAUAGGUGAAUAUUUCUAUACUACCCUUUGUUGGUCCCGAGGGAUAGAGGAGGCUAGGUUAUCCUAAAGAUUGUUAUCAGUUCAAGAUUGUAAGGUGUCCCUGACCUUUUUUAUGGUAAGAAGGGGUAGAGAAAAUGCCUCGAGCCAACAUUUGAAUGCCAGGAGUGACAAUGCUAAAGUAACCCAUGACAUACUCCCAGGAAAAUUACAUUUGAUAAAGAGGAUACUUGUACCCAAAACCAACACAUAUGGGUAGGUAAAGACUACCUAGGGGCGCGAGACAACUCUCUCUAAGGAACUCGACCAUAUAGCCCCGUAACUUCAGAAGAAGGGAUGCCUCUGCACAUCACAAAGGGGGUCAUAGUGACCAAGCUCGGGUGAUUGUUUACCAAAAACACAGGUCUCCACAAAGUCGUACAACCAUAUAUGGGGUCUAUGCAUAAAGAAUAAGCCAAUGAUACCCAUAUUGCCUAUUUUUGUAUCGGGGUCAAAAUGGACCCCUAAAAUAGGUUUUCAAAAA